rnacentral:rRNA from 1 species
GGAGCGUAGGCUGGAGAUUAAGUGUGUUGUGAAAUGUAGACGCUCAACGUCUGACUUGCAGCGCAUACUGGUUUCCUUGAGUACGCACAACGUUGGCGGAAUUCGUCGUGUAGCGGUGAAAUGCUUAGAUAUGACGAAGAACUCCGAUUGCGAAGGCAGCUGACGGGAGCGCAACUGACGCUGAAGCUCGAAGGUGCGGGUAUCGAACAGGAUUAGAUACCCUGGUAGUCCGCACAGUAAACGAUGGAUGCCCGCUGUUGGUACCUGGUAUCAGCGGCUAAGCGAAAGCAUUAAGCAUCCCACCUGGGGAGUACGCCGGCAACGGUGAAACUCAAAGGAAUUGACGGGGGCCCGCACAAGCGGAGGAACAUGUGGUUUAAUUCGAUGAUACGCGAGGAACCUUACCCGGGCUUGAA